UCAGCAAUGGGAGUCGCUGUAUAGGUGCUGCAUGGCUGUCGUCAGCUCGUGUCGUGAGAUGUUGGGUUAAGUCCCGCAACGAGCGCAACCCUUGUCGUUAGUUACCAGCGGGUAAUGCCGGGGACUCUAACGAGACUGCCUGUGAUAAACAGGAGGAAGGUGGGGAUGACGUCAAGUCCUCAUGGCCCUUACGUCUGGGGCUACACACGUGCUACAAUGGCCGGCACAGAGAGAAGCAAUACUGCAAGGUGGAGCAAAUCUCCAAAGCCGGUCCCAGUUCGGAUUGGAGUCUGCAAUUCGACUCCAUGAAGUUGGAAUCGCUAGUAAUCGCGGAUCAGCACGCCGCGGUGAAUACGUUCCCGGGCCUUGUACACACCGCCCGUCACACCACGAAAGUUGGUUGUACCAGAAGUCGGUGUACCAACCCGCAAGGGAGGAAGCCGCCGAAGGUAUGGCUGGUGAUUGGGGUGAAGUCGUAACAAGGUAGCCGUAUCGGAAGG
rnacentral:rRNA from 1 species